GAUGAACGCUGGCGGCGUGCUUAACACAUGCAAGUCGAACGGGAAAUAUUUCAUUGAGACUUUGGUGGAUUUGAUCUAUUUCUAGUGGCGGACGGGUGAGUAACGCGUGGGUAACCUGCCUUAUACAGGGGGAUAACAGUCAGAAAUGGCUGCUAAUACCGCAUAAGCGCACAGAGCUGCAUGGCUCAGUGUGAAAAACUCCGGUGGUAUAAGAUGGACCCGCGUUGGAUUAGCUUGUUGGUGGGGGAACGGCCCACCAAGGCGACGAUCCAUGACCGGCCUGGGAGGGGGAACGGCCACAUUGGGACUGAGACACGGCCCAGACUCCUACGGGAGGCAGCAGUGGGGAAUAUUGCGCAAUGGGGGAAACCCUGAUGCAGCGACGCCGCGUGAAGGAAGAAGUAUCUCGGUAUGUAAACUUCUAUCAGCAGGGAAGAUAGUGACGGUACCUGACUAAGAAGCCCCGGCUAACUACGUGCCAGCCGCCGCCGUAA
rnacentral:rRNA from 1 species